UUGACAGCCCUGGACACUGAUGGCCUCUUUAUCUACAGAGCAGAUACAGCCCAGGCACUGGCAGCAAAAGCCUCUGCUAUGCUGGUGCCUGAUGAGUUGUCUCCACCCUGGGCGGGAGAGGCUGCCUUUAGUACUGAGAAGACAUUUCCUUGUUCUUUGACUUUUUCUUGUGAGGUGGAC
rnacentral:sRNA from 12 species